rnacentral:snRNA from 1 species
AUCAGCAUGGUCCCUGCACAAGGAUGACAUGCAAAUUUGUGAAGUGUCCCAUAUUUUA